rnacentral:rRNA from 1 species
GGAUGAACGCUGGCGGCGUGCCUAAUCCAUGCAAGUCGAGCGAACAGACGAGGAGCUUGCUCCUCUAACGUUAGCGGCGGACGGGUGAGUAACACGUGGAUAACCUACCUAUAAGACUGGGAUAACUUCGGGAAACCGGAGCUAAUACCGGAUAAUAUAUUGAACCGCAUGGUUCAAUAGUGAAAGACGGUUUUGCUGUCACUUAUAGAUGGAUCCGCGCCGCAUUAGCUAGUUGGUAAGGUAACAGCUUACCAAGGCAACGAUGCGUAGCCGACCUGAGAGGGUGAUCGGCCACACUGGAACUGAGACACGGUCCAGACUCCUACGGGAGGCAGCAGUAGGGAAUCUUCCGCAAUGGGCGAAAGCCUGACGGAGCAACGCCGCGUGAGUGAUGAAGGUCUUCGGAUCGUAAAACUCUGUUAUUAGGGAAGAACAAAUGUGUAAGUAACUAUGCACGUCUUGACGGUACCUAAUCAGAAAGCCACGGCUAACUACGUG